CGCCGGUGGGAGGGGAUUCGGCUCCCUCACAGGCAGGGGGGGAGCGCACCUGUCUCUCACUGAACGCGGGGUGGGGUCGGGCUGAGCGCUCCACCCCUUGGGGCGCGCGCACAGGCGGGUGUUGGUGAGCACAAUGCGGCGUCCGCGGGAGGGCGGUUAGCGGAGACAGUUACUCAGCUCAACAGUCGCAACUACCGAGCGCCGAUUCCCGGCUUGCGUGACUAGGGGGCGUGGUUACACCUGGCUCCCGCGUGCACGAGCAAUCGGCGGGCCGGCUCUGCCGUCAUUUCCGGCUAUGGGAGAGAGGAGGAGGAGGAGGAAAGACCCGGAUGUGGGCCGGCGAGAGAUUCGCUCAGAGACCUCUAAGCACCCGUGUCCCGAGGAAGCAGUUGUAGAGCGGGGCACGGAGGAAGUCCCGCCUCGCGCCCGAUUUCCCUAGCGCCAAGAAAACAGCGGUCUGGAGGCGCCAUCUUAGAGGGAGGACAGGGGACCGCAGUUUCUCCGCACUCAGAGUCUUGUAACCGCCGCCGCGCGCACAGCCUGUGACUAGCCAAUCCCUGGGUGCACUCGCCUCACCCCCGCAUACACCGACCCUGCUCCCUGCCGGCACCCCCGACCACACACAGCCCUUGUAUCCACCGUGCAGCCCGCCUACGCGCGCCUCUCACCCCCACGCGGAGCCAUCCCACAGCCUUCGCCCUGCAACUUGCCUACACCCCAUUGUCACCCCUACACUGACUCUUCAGCUCACCAACUGUGGUACACCCGUCUCAACUCUCUCCACACCCAUCUCUAGCAACCCACAUACACCAACCUGCAAUCCACAUAUACAUUGCCCUACAACUCACCUGAACACCCACAUCCCCCACCUCUGCACCUGUCCUGCAAUCAACAUACACAUCCCUUACCCUACUCCCACCUGCAUUCCCAAUGUACACAUCCCUAACCCUACACCAACCUGCAACCCUGCUACUGCCCCCCACACACACCUCACUCCUACACCAGCACUUUCAUUUACCUACACCCCAGGCCUGCCCAUCCUGCAACCCACAUACCCCAUUCUAGCCCUCUCCUGCACACCACCUACCUCAGCACGCACAUUCUGUGGCCCAUCUACAUCUCUGCAGCCCCUGCCUAUACCAUGCCUUGUAGCCAUCUGUUCAUCACCUAUAUCCUCUACCUCCUUGCAACUUACCUACAACCCCUCUAUACACAUCCCUUGUAAUUCACUGACCGCUCAAAUGUAUCCUGUUCCCCCACACACAUCCUGUAACCCACCUACAUCCCUUACUCUUCCUGUAACCUACCUACAACCCUAUGCACACAACCUCUAUGUACCCUGUAACCUAGGUACUCUCUACACACAUUCCCAAACAUGCACCCUGUAAUCCACCUACUGAGAACCCAUGUACACUAUAACAUAUUUACUGGUCCCUCUAACAUUUCUGCUACAUACAAUCUGUAAACCAGGUACACUCUAGAAACUUCCACUAACUCCCCCCACAUACGCAUCCUGAAUCCUUAUGCAUAGCCUGUAACCAGCCUAUACCCUCACAAGCAUUUUGUACCAAUAGGCACAAUCUGUAAUCCACCUACUCCCUCCCCACACACAGCCUCUAUCCUUACAACAUAUCUGCAGAAGACUUUUACCAUCUUGCAUUUCCACACACCAUGUCUCCAAACAAACUUUAAUCCACUUUACUCAGCUUGUAUUCUCUGUAUCUCCCUAACUACAUUGCACAAAGAACAAAAUUUUUCACAGCCCUGGGCGAUGUAGCUAGGUUGAUCUAAUUUUUUUUAAGUGUAGACCAGGUCUAAGACCUACAGUAACUGGCUGGUGGAGACUUUUUCAGUUAAGAAAUAAUAUUCAGGAAUUAGUCAAACUGUCACUGUGAUCAAGUUGAAGAUCUGGAUUAUUUGCUAAAAUAGAGCCUUUUCCUGAGAUGCUGAGCAAACGCUGCUCCUAUUGUCUUCAGGGUUCCACAAGGGUGCAGCAUUCAGAAAUCUCUCGCUAGCCUGGGGUGAAGAAGGUAGCAAUUUCAAGAGUUAUUGCAAUUAACAUUUCACUGCUGGAGAGAGUAUUUAAAUCAUGUUUCAGACCUUCUAGGUUCUAAUGGAAUAUAUGCCUAUAACUGAGACGUCUCCAUCACCAUCACAACUCUCUCCUGUCCCCCAUUACAUAUUUGGUGAAAGGACAGCCUGAAUGAAUGGUUUGAAGAUUUCCACUGAGCCUGACUGUGCCUUAGUAUUUAUAACUAGGCUAUUAAGGUUCCCCAUCUAGUCUAGUCUACUGUGUUCCAUUCAUACCAAAUGAACUUGUUGGGGCUGUGUGUAUCAGAAUUGGCACACACAAAAUGGAUUUUGUAUGUCCUUGUGACAGGGUGAAUGAACUCAAUAUUACUGUUUGUCUUUGAUCCAAAUAAGACUUCCCCAGCUCUGCUGUUUAAGUUAGUAAUUCCACAGUGCCCUUCAUGUAUCCUUUCCAACAUUGGCUUCCAAUCAUGUGGGAACUCCUAUUUUUUAAUCUUUCAUGAGUAUGCCCAAGAUUGCUGAAAGCUCAUUGUAUAUUGGGAAUGCACAGGUCAGAAGUGUUGAUUCUUCCAUCCACUACAAACAGCUUGUAAUGUUUUUCCAUCCUUAGCUAUUCCCUCUUUCUAUCUCAUCCUAUACAUCUGGUGACACAACACAUGAUGCUUUUCUCACAUUCGCGUGUACUACCUGAUUAUAACAGACUAUUUUAGAAACUAUCCAGAAAGAGUGAUACUUGCAGUUACCAUAAUAUCAGCUGAAGUCAGGCACGUUAAAACCAUGUUUGCAAGUCAUGGACUCCGAAGGCCUGCAAUAAUUGAUUCUAGCUCCCUAAGCUACUAUUUGUUCUCCCUGAGCCUUUUUCUAGCUGUCUGAAUCACCCUCUCAUCUUUUUCUCUUAUGUGUUUGAGUUUUUCAAAUCAGCUCACUGUUUGUUUCCCGUGUGUGUGGCAUGCAGAGCAAUCAAUGGGUAUUGCUGGUGCUUGACUGGUUUAACUGUGCCGCCUGUCUUAACCAUGCACCAGGCAUAACUAACUCAGGAGCACCUGACAGAAUGUGUCUGGGCUGCUGAAUACUUUUGAAAAUGUUAUUUUAGUGCUCAGCUCCUCAGCCAGGCCCUGACACUGCCAUUUUGAAGGGCUUAGCAUCCAAAACACUCUGAGAACUUAAGUACAUCUGCAAAUCAGUUCUGAAUAGCUGCAGAAUGCCUACACAUGUGCUGGGCCCCAUUUGAAGCAUACAACAGGGUACUUGGCUGUGCGAACAUUUAGAAAUUUCACCAAUAGUGUGUGAAGCAGAAAAACCAAGCUCAAAGAUCAGGCUCAUUGUUUUCACAGUCAUUUCCCAUAAAAUGUCUAGAAUUUUUUCCUAAUGAAAAGAAAAAAAUGCUGAAACCCACCCCUCCCCUCAGAAGUCUUAACAAGAGAGUCGAUCAUAUCAGCUGACGGCACAUCACAUUUGUUAAACAUACAUUAUACUUGGCCUCGCCUGAUGCUGAAAGCAACCAAAACAAAUCAGCUCCAGAAAAACUGCUUUUCUGACUUUUUGCCUUUGCUCUUUCUGCUUCUGAGCCGAUUGUUGUUGAUUGAUGCCAACCUCUACAUUGCUUAAUAGUAAUUCUCAUUAGUUUACUGCCUUACAUAUUUUAUAUCAUCUUAAUACCAAGAGCCAAAACUUGCUAUGAUUGGGGAGACGAGGCGAUCUAGGGCUAAUACUCCUUAGCUAGGACAAUGUAUAGUACAUUAGCACAGGGGCAUUUCUCACCUGUCUUCCCCUGCUGUUGGCUGCAGGUCUACUGCCAUCUCCCAUGCAAAAUAGGGAUCUUCUGCUCCAUACUACACCUUCCGUUUUUUCCUACACUAGAUUCUUUUGAGUCUUUGUUACUGCUCUGAACACAUAUUGCUUUUAGUUCUUUUCCACUAAUUUGAUGAAUUCCAAUGUUCCAGUGCAUGACUGGAUCCAGUCCCUCUCUGGGGCUAAUAUUAUUAACCUUGCUUUUUAUGUUUUGCUGUGCAGCAGCCAGCAGUACUUACGGAGUGUUCCAUGUCUUUUGUAUGGCUCUCCACAUUAA